CAGCCGCCGCGGUAAUACGUAGGGCGCAAGCGUUAUCCGGAAUUAUUGGGCGUAAAGAGCUCGUAGGCGGUUUGUCGCGUCUGCCGUGAAAGUCCGGGGCUCAACCCCGGAUCUGCGGUGGGUACGGGCAGACUAGAGUGAUGUAGGGGAGACUGGAAUUCCUGGUGUAGCGGUGAAAUGCGCAGAUAUCAGGAGGAACACCGAUGGCGAAGGCAGGUCUCUGGGCAUUAACUGACGCUGAGGAGCGAAAGCAUGGGGAGCGAACAGGAUUAGAUACCCCAGUAGUCACUGUCUCUUAUAA
rnacentral:rRNA from 1 species